GACCGCCGGUCAAUUCCGGCUAAGGCCACACGGACAGCCGGGUCGGAUGCCGA
rnacentral:sRNA from 1 species